rnacentral:rRNA from 1 species
UACAGAGGGUGCGAGCGUUAAUCGGAAUUACUGGGCGUAAAGCGUGCGUAGACGGUAGCGUAAGUCAGAUGUGAAAGCCCCGGGCUCAACCUGGGAAUUGCAUUUGAGACUGCUCUGCUCGGGUGCGGAAGAGGGAAGCGGAAUUUCCGGUGUAGCGGUGAAAUGCGUAGAUAUCGGAAGGAACACCAGUGGCGAAAGCGGCUUCAUGGUCCGACACCGACGUUCAGGCACGAAAGCGUGGGGAGCAAACAGG